rnacentral:lncRNA from 1 species
CUUGCUAGCUGCAAGGGGGGCUGGGAAAUGUAGUCUGUGGCUAGGCAGCCGCUUCCCAGUGACAACUGCACACGGAGGAGGGGGAGCAUGAGUGUUCAGUCGACAGGUGGCCAUCUUUGCCCCAGCUGGGAGCGGGCCUGAAGCAGGAAAUGCCCUGUCUCCAGCAGGUUCUAGGAACACGCUCCCACAUCUUCGCCCACGGGCUGUACAAGCAAAGGCGACGUGGGCCUCGAGCUGUAGUUUGCUGACACCUCCCCACCCUCUAAAUCCUCUGACAACCAGAAAGGACACCACUGGCACCGACGCCUUCUCCAGUCUGGGUUUUGCCUCCCAGAGGCCCGAGGCCACGCUGCUGACACCGGAGCCCCGCCUGGAUGCCUGGCUCCGGAAGACGGAGGAAGAGGCGGGGCCGGGCCCGGGCCUGCUCCCGGGUGAGUCUGGGCCUUUGAAGACCGGCUCCCUCUUCAAUGAGAAACAGGCCUUCCUCACCCCGCCAGCCUGGCGUCCUGGGGCAGGAAGUGGGGGCAGACGUUGGCCCUCAAGGCUGCCCCUUUGCGCCUUGCUCUCCAGCACUUCCCAGCCUGCCUCAGGGCCAGUCCCACAGGGCCAGCUCAGGUGGUGUCAGGGGGCGGCAGGCUCAGGGAGGGACCGGGAGACCUGGUCAGGGCUGUGGGGGAGGCCGGCAGCGUCGCCGGGGCCUCCCGUCCUCUGGGGGGAGCAGGGCUGGAGAUUUUCUCUGAAACCUGCCUCAGAGUGCUGAAGGUUCAAAGGAGCAGGGCUGUUCUGACUACUUCCUUCAGAGAAACUUCCUUCAAAGAUAGCUACUCUUUUCUCUCUUUUUGGCUCCUCUUCCCAACCCUCUUUUCCUCCUCUCCUCUCUUGACCUCUGCUUCCCUUCUCUCGGGUCCCCUCCCAACAUGGCCUGACACUGCUGCCACGGAGCCUUUGCUCAGCCGGCUCUCUCCCGGAAGUCCUGUCCCCCCAUCCCCACCUGAACAUACUCUCCUCUCAGAUGCCACCUCCUCCUCUCCCAGUGGGCCGGGGCUGGGAGGGGAUCUCCCUGAGUGCCGAGUGUACAGAGCCGGCCUAGGAGAAUCACCGCCCAGAUUCAGUGCCCAGAGGCAACUCAGACCCCUCCGCGUGGCAUUCAAGGCCUUUGUGAGCUCUCUCAGGCUUUGUCUCACCUGAGCUCCCCUGGGAAAGCUCACAGCCUCGCGGUGGGAGGGAAUCCUCUACCCCAGUGCGGUCCAGUGGAAAUAUAAUUUGAGCCACAAGUGUAACUUUCAUUGUUUUAGUAGCCACGUUAAAUAAAUAAAAAGAAACAACUAGAAUUAAUUUUAAUAAUAUAUUUUCUUUAACCCAUUGUAUUCAAAUGUUAUCAUCUCAACAUGUAAUCAAUAUAAAAAUUAUUAAUGAGAUAUUUUAUAUAUUUUUUUAUGUACCAAGUUUUUGAGGUCUCAUGUGUGUUUUACACUAACACCAGGUCUCCACUCAGACUGGCCACAUUGCAGUCGCUGCACACGGCAGGUGGCCCCCAAGUUGGACAGCUCAGGCCUAACCCAACCCUGAGCCCCAGCCCUUAACCCUAAAAGCUGCCUGAGUAACUACAAGGUAAGUGUAAUGGAUGGCCCUGGUGGAGAUUAAACUGGUGGGUUUUCUUCUCUUUUUGCUUUGAUUUCUCAGGGAAGAGGUAAGUGGUGCCUUUGUAAAGGGGAAUCCUGUCUGUCCGAAGCUUCGUGUGCAUCUCAGAGUCCUGGGCUCCACAAGGGACAACCAAGUCCUGUCCAGGAAGUGGGGCAUGGGCAGCCCUUGGUGUGUGAGUGUCAAAAAGGAGAAGCUGCGAUGUGGGUCCCCGGAAGAGAACUAGGUGGCUGUGCUGGGGGGUGAGGGGUGCUGUGGGCAGCUCAUUACCCAGGAGGACAGGGCAGUAGGCUCUUGUCAGUCCCAAGCUUUGAACCAAGCUUGCAUGCUGUGGAGUCCCCACUGGGGGCAGCCACUUCCUGUGAUGGGCAGCAGGGGAUGUUUCUAGAAGAGGGUAGUGUCUGAGCUGGAUCCUUCCUUUCUCUUUUCAGAACCUCCAUCCAUCCUUUUCCCUCUUGUAUCCCCUUCCUCUCCUUGCCCCAGAGCUAAUGAGGUGAGUGCCCCCAGUGCAGGGGCCUCCAUCCGCUUGUUUCUCUUUGAACGUCCAGGCUCUGGUUGGCUCCAGAGGAGCAUCCUGGGAGAAUUGGCCAGCAGAUGCUGGAUUCCCUCACCUGGAGGCCUGACCUCACUUGCAGACGGCCCCUCCUCCAUCUGUGCCUUGUGACUGGGCAAGGCAGCCCAGCCCACCUGUCCGUGGCUUCAAACACUAUCCCCUUCUGCUCAGAGACGCUCACAGGACGUGUGUGCGUGUGGGCGCUGGGCCUGGCCAGGUCUUUCAGCAGGAUUUCAUCAGGGUUGAGGAGGCCCCUCCCCCUGGAAGGCUGGAGCUGUGCUCUGCCUGAGGUUGCUGUUUCACGCUGGAACCACUCGUGGGCAACAGAAAGCCAGCCUGAGCCAACUGACCACAGAGCCAGAAAGUCACCUGGGUGACCAGCUGGUGCAGCCUGCUCAUGGUACAGAUGAGGAAACCGCACUGGACAGAUUCACCUGAGGCCUCUGAGCUAAUGUUUGGUCCUCUCCUGUGCUCUCCAUUAUAAGGAAGCCCUGCAUCACGUCUACCCUAAAACCCUCUGGCUGCGGUUCCCACAGCCUCACCUGGGUGGACACGCUGGCUUUUCUGCAGAACUGCACCGACCUCAGGCUGUCUGGGUAGCGCUGGGGGCCCGGUCAGUGUCCUGGCUGCCACCAUGAACUCAAAGACCUUGAAU